UACGUAGGGGGCUAGCGUUGUCCGGAAUCAUUGGGCGUAAAGAGCGUGUAGGCGGCCCGGUAAGUCCGCUGUAAAAGUCAAAGGCUCAACCUUUGAAUGUCAGUGGAUACUGCCGGGCUAGAGUCCGGAAGAGGCGAGUGGAACUCCUGGUGUAGCGGUGGAAUGCGCAGAUAUCAGGAAGAACACCUAUGGCGAAGGCAGCUCGCUAGGACGGUACUGACGCUGAGACGCGAAAGCGUGGGGAGCGAACAGG
rnacentral:rRNA from 1 species